UAGGGAAUCUUCGGCAAUGGACGAAAGUCUGACCGAGCAACGCCGCGUGAGUGAAGAAGGUUUUCGGAUCGUAAAACUCUGUUGUUAGAGAAGAACAAGGACGUUAGUAACUGAACGUCCCCUGACGGUAUCUAACCAGAAAGCCACGGCUAACUACGUGCCAGCAGCCGCGGUAAUACGUAGGUGGCAAGCGUUGUCCGGAUUUAUUGGGCGUAAAGCGAGCGCAGGCGGUUUCUUAAGUCUGAUGUGAAAGCCCCCGGCUCAACCGGGGAGGGUCCUUGGAAACUGGGAGACUUGAGUGCAGAAGAGGAGAGUGGAAUUCCAUGUGUAGCGGUGAAAUGCGUAGAUAUAUGGAGGAACACCAGUGGCGAAGGCGGCGCUCUGGUCUGUAACUGACGCUGAGGCUCGAAAGCGUGGGGAGCAAACAGG
rnacentral:rRNA from 1 species